UACGUAGGGUGCAAGCGUUGUCCGGAAUUAUUGGGCGUAAAGAGCUCGUAGGCGGUUCGUCGCGUCGGCUGUGAAAUCCCGAGGCUCAACCUCGGGUCUGCAGUCGAUACGGGCGGACUUGAGUACUGCAGGGGAGACUGGAAUUCCUGGUGUAGCGGUGAAAUGCGCAGAUAUCGGGAGGAACACCGGUGGCGAAGGCGGUUCUCUGGGCCUGUACUGACGCUGAGGAGCGAAAGCGUGGGGAGCGAACAGG
rnacentral:rRNA from 1 species